rnacentral:rRNA from 1 species
UACGUAGGGUGCAAGCGUUAAUCGGAAUUACUGGGCGUAAAGCGUGCGCAGGCGGUUUUGUAAGUUUGACGUGAAAUCCCCGGGCUCAACCUGGGAAUGGCAUUGGUGACUGCACGGCUAGAGUGUGUCAGAGGGGGGUAGAAUUCCACGUGUAGCAGUGAAAUGCGUAGAGAUGUGGAGGAAUACCGAUGGCGAAGGCAGCCCCCCUGGGAUAACACUGACGCUCAUGCACGAAAGCGUGGGGAGCAAACAGG